GCUGCAGAGGCUGAGGAAGCUGAAGGCUGUGCAGGAUGCUCUGGAGCAGGCGUACCUGGGAGCCCGGCAGCAGCACCCGGACGCCUCGGGGGGCUUUGAUCCUGACCGCUCACUGGAAGGGGACAUUUUCCACCUGGGGCUGUGCCUGGAGGAGCUCAAGGAGCGGCUGGAGCCUGGGGCCAGGCGGCAGCUCCCCCCUCAACACCCACCCCAGGCCCACUCCCCUCCAGCCCAUUCCCCAUCACCUACCCCCAGCUCCCUGCACCCCGAGAGCCCCACGCAGACAGGAGGUCCCCAGAGGGCAGUGGGGGACAGUGAGGCUGUGACAGAGUGGUUGCCCAGACCCCUCUGGAACAAGCAGCAGCGUGUGGAGGAGGAUUUUGGUGACCUGCUGCAGCAGUACAAGCACUUCAAGUCCCUGCCGGAGUCACUGAGCCUGGAGCAGCUGAGCCUGACAGCAAGCGGGUCCCAGGAGGAGGUGGACGGGCCUGCAGCAGGGGAUGGUGGCCCCAGCACAGUCCCCAGGAGGACAUGGUCUCUGGAGGAAGUGCCUGACCUUGAGAGCUCC